GAGGCUACACACGUACUACAAUGGCCGGUACAAGGGCAGCGACACAGCGAUGUGAAGCCAAUCCCGAAAAGCCGGUCUCAGUCCGGAUUGGAGUCUGCAACUCGACUCCAUGAAGUUGGAAUCGCUAGUAAUCGCGGAUCAGCACGCCGCGGUGAACACGUUCCCGGGCCUU
rnacentral:rRNA from 1 species